CAGUCGCCGCGGUAAUACAGAGGGUGCGAGCGUUAAUCGGAUUUACUGGGCGUAAAGCGUGCGUAGGCGGCUUCUUAAGUCGUAUGUGAAAUCCCUGAGCUUAACUUAGGAAUUGCAUUCGAUACUGGGAAGCUAGAGUAUGGGAGAGGAUGGUAGAAUUCCAGGUGUAGCGGUGAAAUGCGUAGAGAUCUGGAGGAAUACCGAUGGCGAAGGCAGCCAUCUGGCCUAAUACUGACGCUGAGGUACGAAAGCAUGGGGAGCAAACAGGAUCAGAUACCCGUGUAGUCCCUGUCUCUUAUAC
rnacentral:rRNA from 1 species